AUUCUCUCUCUCUCUCUCUCUUCCCUUCGUUCAUUCAUCUCUUUUCAAUUUGUGGAGGAACUCACCCUCGAAGUGAGCUUAUACCCAUUUCCUGCACAUUAUUUUCAUCCAUUACAAUAAUAUUGCCGGCCAGAGUGUUACAAAACCCUAAUUGCCGAAGAGCUGUAAAAAAUUAAUUUAAACAUAAACAAUGCCGCUGUUUUUAGCUCAUUUAAAUGGCACACUUAUGAUUCUCGCAGCAUCUCCGAUGAGUUUGACGGAGUCCAUGGUGCGUGAUCGGGUUUUUUCUUUCCUUUUCUUUUGGCAGCAUAACUCUGCCUCGUAUAAAUUUCGCAAAGCAGUGUGGAAAAAUGCAACGCCCAGGUUUGCUUCCCUCGGCGUUGUUUCUCAUCCCGAGGGGCCCAAUUGACCAACAAUGCACCAGUUCUGUAGUGUGGCCGAGCUCAUAGUUCCUCACGCGUACUCUUGCUAUGCUUCAAGAUUGUAUCCAAUUAAAAGGUGACCCGUCUUCAGGGAAGGUUCUCUACUGUGAGAUUCUCAAAAGAGGUGGUUGUUUGGACCUAUUCUGUUACAACGUCCUACUCAAGUGUCAGCGUGUGUGUCAAAUCCGAGUUCUUCUAUGGUGUUGUUAAUCUGUUCAACGAAAUGCCUGAUAGAAAUUCGAUCUCGUCUGUUACGUCAAUUCACUAAUACGUGCUGUCGUUGCAAUUCAUUGUUAGUCAAUGGUGACGAGCUCGACCCUUUAAUUUUUUCUGAGAAGUCUGGAAUUGCUCGUGAGUAUGGGAUGGGCUGAGCUAGGUUGGACCAUUCAUGUUUCUAAUCCUAAAGCUUGGUCAUGACUUUCAUACAUUCGUUGGGACUGCUCUUUUGUAUGGCUUCUCUGUUUGUGAGGUCGUUGCUACCGCAAGAGCGGUUUUUUAUGGACUUGCUAUUAUUCUGAGUGAUUGUUUUUAAGAGGCUAUAUGUGCUUUUUCUCUAAUGAGAAUAUUUGGAUUUGAGCCAAAUAAUUUUAGUUUCGCGUGUUUGCUCUGGAUUUAAUACCUUUAAUGCGGAGAUGAGCGUUCAUGGUUGCAAAACUGCACAUUGAGAACUCGCUAUCUAUGAACCGGAUCUUUUGUGGGUGUUGCAUUACUUGAACCUUAGCUAGUCUGGGGACCGGGCACAUUCUAGGCAGAUCAGGCCAUCUUGAUAAAGCCUAGUGUUAUAUCUGGCGUGCUUUACUUGGAGCUUGCUUUAUCCAUAAUAAUGUUGAGCUUGAGAGUUUCUGCACGGCGUGUGCUUGUGAUGGAUGACAAAGAUGAGGCGACCCAUGUAUUAUUGUCAAAUAUGUAUGCUACUGCAAAAAGGUGGGAAGCAUGGCUUCUGUUUGGGAGCAAAUGAAAAUGGAAGGAGUAAAGAAGGGGCCUCAGUUGGAUUGAAAACCAGGGAAUAGUUCAUUAUUUCACUGCUGGAGAUACUCCACAUCCCGGCAUGAAACUAAUUAAUAGGAUGCUGGAAGUUUUGAACAUGAAAACCAGGAAGGCAGGAUAUGUUCCUAAUCAUAAUGCAGUUCCACUUGAUGUGGAUGAUGAUGAAAAGGACAUCUCUUGUGGUUAUGCAGUGAAAGAUUAGCUCUUGGUUAUGGGUUAAUUAAAAUUCUAUCUGGGAGACCUAUUCACAUCAUUGAAAAUCUCCAAACAUGUGUGGACUGUCAUGCUGCACUGAAGUUAAUAUCAAAGGGUAUCUAUCACUUUCUGGAUGAAGUUUGCUAUUCUGGCGAUUAUUGGGUGAUUCUUGAUCUUGAACACUAAUCUGUCCACAGCCUCGGGUUCAGUGCUAAGAAGCUGGCAGUAACUUGCUCUCAUGUAGGUUGCAGAUAAUGACUGCUGUGCUGUUUAACCUGUUACUUGGAGUGGAAAAGUCGGCCAUAAGAAAUGGGACUUGAUAAUCUGCUUGCAGUCUAUGGAUAUUGCAUGGUGAGGUCAGAUGCAGAACCAGAUUGAAUAUUCUCAAAGGUAGCUCUGAGUGAAAGCUAUAUAGCUCGUCAUUGUUCGACUGUUCUGUUCAUCUGCCAGGUUUGGAUUUGGGUUUUGGUUGAACUUCAUCCGAAUGGGAAGUCAUGUAGACGAGCUGACACAAGAUUAUUCCUCAUCUGUACACUUAAACUGCAUUUGGGUGUCAUGUGGGAAUUUAAUGGCUUCAUUUUCUUUGAUGUAUAUUGAAUAAAAAUGGCCUUAAAAAAAGAGAUUGAAUAAAAAUGAAAGCACAAUAAUACCUAUAGUCCAAUUGAUGAAACAGAGUUAGUUUUAAGCUAUCAUGC